GAUCACUUUAAGUUGAGCUUUUAUCUAUGGUAUUCACAGUCUCCUCAUGCUUUGAACAAUUAUCUUCCCCACAUGAUGCAUUCUCAAUCUGGGUGAUGUCAUGCAUGAUUGGUGGUAUAACAACAGAAGCUAAUGCAUCAACACUACUUGGAGUAUCACUAUCACAUAGUAUUGCCACACUUCUUCCAGCUGAAGUAUCUAUUUCUGGCUCUAUCUCAGUCAUGGUCAUGGACAAUGUGAGUGAAGAGUCUUCAGCAUCACUGGGUUGUUCAAGCAUACUGGCUAAUUCCUGCACAUUGUGGAAUUUAGAUUCAUUUAAUUAAAAAUGUUUCAAGUGUAAUGUUCAAAAGAAAAUUUUAAUAUAAUGAUCUCACUUAUAUAUAUCAAUACAUACUUAUUCAUGCUCAAGAUAAA